UCGAAUUUUAUAAACUCGAGUCUUGAAAGGGGUAACCUUUUCGGGGCUCGUUUUCAUAAAACCAACCCCAUUUGUGAACCAUCGCGUGAGUUAGUAGGGGGUGGAGAGUGCGCUUUGUUGUGUGCCCUCUUCCCUCGAAAGCUUGCGACAAUCCUACAUACCCCAGUAUUAAGUCUCAGAAUGUUACUUUGCGUAGAACGCAAUAAAAAAAAUA
rnacentral:misc_RNA from 1 species